CCAAGGCAGAGCAGCUUCAGUGGUGAAUGGCCAGCAAGUGUGAAAUCCUCUGUUUAUCUACAGCUAGAGGGACCUUGUCCUGCCUGGCCAACUGGAGGCAAAACACAACUUAAACUGUCCACUGGGGUCCCUGGGGCAGAGCCCAGAGGGGACUGGGCAACUCAGCACAGACUUGGGGGCACACAUGUUCUAACGUGAUCGUCAAGCGGCUCUGGGAGCCAGGCCCAGCUCCUCAGGGGAGUGUUGGGUAAGGGAAAAAGCCCAGAUCCCCUCACUUAGUUCCUUCAGAAAAGCAAUAACUGACCCCAGGGCAUCACUUGUUGCCCCAUCCCCCCAUCCCAAGGGGGCAGCCACACUCCAUCACACAUAAACCUGAGGAGGAGGGCAGCUGUCCCCCUUCAUUUUCCAGAGGCCAGAGCCAGCCCAGGUGCUGUUCUGCUCAGACAGGCCUCCCUUGAUGCUGGUGGGAUGUUGCCAUAGAGGCAGCAGCCAGCACCGGGCACUGUGUGGGCACUUGGGUGCAGGGGUGACAUCCUCUAACUGAAAACUAGGCUAGGCCACCACAUGGAGCUGGUGUGCAUGUGACCAAAGAGGCCCCUCCUUUAGCUAUGGGCAUUGUCAACACCUGCUCUGGAUGAGGUCCUCUUGGAAACCAGGGACUCCCUUGGUGAGGGCCCUCAAUCCUGACUCACAGCCCCUUAAUAUCCGAGCCCUGGGUUCAGCAUACAGCGCUGCCAGUGCCCCUCAAUCCUGACCUGCAGCCCCUCUCCUGCUCUGGCCCCAGUUGUGAGCUCUGAGUGCUGUGAGCUGUGCUGUGCAGAUCAGCAUCGGAGGGCGCUGAGGUGGAAGGGGUGAAGGGUGAGAGCUCAGCACACACCCUGCGGAGGAAUCUCCCUCCCAGGCUGGCUCCUGGCCAAGGCAGGUUCUGUUCUGCCUGGACGUGUCUGUGUGGGCACUGAGUCCCUCCCAGAGCCUUUGCCUACUCGUUGGCACAUGCUGACCACUCCCUUUGAUGGGCACCCUCUGGGGAUCAGCUCAGCAGUUCGCCUUGCCAGGCAGCUGAAGCCUGGCGAAAGAUGGGUAUCCAGGCUGCAGACAGCAGCUCCCCUCUUUCUGCAGCAGGUGGCAGUGUUGUCAUCUGAAUUUCUUCUCUCAGGCUGGGUGCACCUGGGAAUUCAUGGGCUGCGGGUGCAGAUUCACCUGGUUGGAGUUCCUGUGGCUGUGUAUACCAGAGGGGGUGCCAAUGAAAGGCAGAGACAGAGCCCCAAGCAUGCCGUGUUUCAGCGUGCUGGAAGCCAGGCUGCGCAGUGCAUUUGUCCUCAUUGGGUUGCUCCUGCCACUGGAGGAGAAAGACCCACAGAUUCGAGUUUGUAACCAGCAGUGAUUCAGGGGAUGGCACAUCCAUCCACAGUCCAGCACAGGACCUGUGGCUCAUGGCCCAGAAACUCUGCUGAGGCCUCUCCAUUCUGACCUGCCCCCCUGCAGUGCCAACUCUGUCCACCCAACACACCUCUGCCUCCAGCCCCCCCUGCAAUUCCAGUCCUGGGUUUUUGCUCAGCCCAGGUAGCUCUGCUGGUGCUCCUCAGUCCUAACACACAGCCCUCCCUGUCACUCACAGAACUACAGGAAACAGGGCUGGAAGGGAUGCUGAGCGGACCUCUGCUCUGCCCCUCUCCUGAGGCAGGAUCACCAGCCCCAAACCAUCCUAACGCACAUUUGCCCAGCCUGCUCUUAAAACCUCAAGAAAUAGAGACCCUGUAGUUUCCCUUUUUCAGCCUGAGGCUCUUGGCGGGUUCAGCCGUGCUUAUGCCACAAUGCAAGUGCCCUGCCAUAGGGACAAACCCUGGAAUAGGAGCUAUGAAACUCAGUGCUCAGGUGGCUGCAGUCAGCUGCCAGGUCAGAACUUCUCAGUUGCAGGGCAGCUCUGGCAGCUGGUCUGGGCCAUGCCCUUUCCCUUAAUCCUGGCAAUCAAUGCCCCCCUCUGCUUCUGGGGCAGCAAGUGCCAAUGCCCCUGGCUGCAACCCUUGCUGGUUAGCAAUUCACUCCUGCCCUCUUGUGACUGAGGAGAAAAUUGGAAGAGCAUACCAAGGACAAAGCCUGAGAGUGAGUCAGCUUUGCUGUGACCUGGGAAUGCACAAAGCACAGAGGCAAAUGGGUGUCUAAACAGCCCCUGGAGGAGGUGGAGUGGGCACAGGUUCUCAGAAAGGCAUCCCCAUGAUUUGGGAACAUCCCUGCUGCAGGGCGGAGGUGAGAUCCCAGCUGCCUGGCAUAGCAGAGUGGGGAGAGGGGCUGACCUGUCUCGCCAGGACCCCCCUGCCUGGGAGCCCUUGGAGGCCUGGUGGUAUCAGACUGGGCAUGGGUUGCAAAUGGAGUCAAUAUCACCCCUGCCCCACAGCCAGCUGCAUGCACUAUCCCCCCUGCCUCUCUUGGGGAUGAAUAGGUUUCCAUCAGCUGGGGGCUGCUGGCAGGGCAGUUUCUUGCAGAUGCUUCUGAUGGUUGAAGCUCUCUGGAAUUUAGUUGGCAGCUCCCCUCUCUUUGCCUCCCCUGUCAUGUCAUGGAACUGGGGAUUGCCUCUCCUAAAUCAUGGUUUGUGGGGCUGCACUGAGCUGAGGGAGGUUCAUGGCAGGGACCUCCCGGGACACUGUCCUCACUGUAGCGGGAGGGGCAGAAUCUCCCUUGCUGUUGCUAACAAGCCUCCCAGUUUUGGUUGCACCCCUUCUCCAAUGACAAUGCAUGGUGCUUAGCAAGAAGGGUCUGGAUAGCAGUAGGCCAUGUUUCUCCCCAGCCAACACAAAGCCAGCACCCCAGUGUGGCAGCCAGUGCAGAAGUAUCAGUGCUCUUGUCCAACAGAUGAAGUGUACCUGCCAGUUUCUGGUCACCCCUGGUGGCUAACAACUCCAGCUGGGCUGAUUCCAUUACAUCUCCCUUCCCCCCAGCUUCGGAAGAAGGGUUUUUUGUGACUUCCUCUGUGUGUGUGUGUGUGUGUGUGUGUGUGUAGUGCUACAUCCCAGAGGUGGCUGCAUUUCAGUGGUGGGCAAUGCUCCCUGGACAGUCUAGUUGUGUGUGGAUUUGGGAGAUUUGGUAGAUGAGGGCCAAGCAGUAGAGUCCCUAACCAAUAAAAUGCAAUGCCAAUGAUUUGUGAAGCUCUCUGAGAUCUUCCUGGUGCUGGGAGCUCCAGAAUGCCUCACACCUCUAUGCUUUGGAUGCUGGCAUUGUGCCAUGGCUCUGCCCAAAGUGUGGCAGGCACAGGUAGUCUUACACAGGGAGUGAGAGGCAUGAGUUCUUGGGAUCCCCUAAUGCAAUUGGGGUGGGCAAUGACUAUGUCCCCUUCAUCUCAGAUGUGUCACCUGGCAGACACCCCUGCAACAGUACUGGCCGUGCCGAUACCCAGGAGUUGCAAUGCAGCCUCACUGCUCAGUUAAUGUUCAGGAAAGGAAAAAUCACUGGUCCUAGGGCGCCCUGCAGUGCUGUAGGUGCCUGUGCACACUAGAAGGUGUUCCUUUGCCAGGAUAUCCAUACUCAGAAGCUGCCUAGGUAGUCCAGAUUUGGGGCUGGUGCCACCUGUAGGACCAAGCACUAGAUAGAGAUGAAGCCAUGCACUGGGCUGGGCUUGUGGAGCUCCUUCGCCUACAGGACAGUCCAUGGGAGCAGGACAGCCCCUUAUUGAACAGGUAUGCUGAUUGCUGCCACCUUUGCAGGCAAAGGCGGCAGGAGAAAUGGCCUGAACAGCAUGUAGCUGGCUCAGUGCAUGACAGCCACCUCUGGUCUAAGGAGUGAACACAGAUGGGCAAAUGUGGGGGGAUUCUCUCCCUGUUCCCUCCUCAUUUGUACAUGCACUUAGCACUUGUGGAGAGCCUUUGUGUGCAUACAUCUGCCCGUGGCCACUGUAUGCCCAGGUGCUCCAAAGCACUGUGGGUAAGCCUGAAUGGCACAGUGAGGUGUUGGGGAGACCUAACCAUCAUGGGCACAGGGAGCAGCUGCCUAGGGAGUUACCUAGGGAGCAGAAACAUGACCAGGAAGCUCAAGUGAUGACACAGAGGGGCCAGCGGGUUACAGUGAGAUGAAGCUGGGUGGUUACUGAUUUUUCUGGUGUACUGGCCCAAGUUAACACACACCCACAUACACAUGUACAUAUGUGGGUUGUGUGUGUGUGUGUAUACAAGUGUGUAUUAUAUAUGUAUAUGUGUGUAUAUACACACACAUUAUAUGUGUAGAUACAUAUGUGUGUGCAUGUAACAUAUAUAUACACACACACAUACAUACACACUUAUGUAUAAAACAUUGUUUUGUGUUGACCAAAACGUUUGAUGUUGCUGUUGAAUUUUUUUUUAAAGUUUCUUUUAAUCAAACAUAGGGACAUUUUGAAGCAAAAUGUCCUUUUCAAAUGAAAAGCUUUUGACCUUUCAUUUUAAAAAUUGUGAACAUGAAACCUUUUGUCUUUUUUCCAAAGAAGGGGAAAAUGUUUUUGAUUGACCUGAAACAACAGUGGAUCUUGGCUCCCAUAGGUGUCAGGCGUGGAGGAGAAAUUGAAGUGGGUGGGACUGCACUGCCACACUUCCCUGCUCCUCCUCGGAUUCAUCCCUGAGCUGAAACAAAACAUCAACUUUGGCACCAAUUUGUGAAUACUUUUGGUUGGCUUGAAGCCAUGUUUUCUUUCUUUUUUAAUUUCCUUCUCUGCCCAGCAAAAACUUCAGUAAAAUUUUACUCACAGGGGUGGAGGGGCCUGGCAGGGUCUGGCUGCUGUUAGCAGCUCUGUGCCACCAGAGAGCACUGUGGUCCCACACAUGCAAUGCAGCCUUUUGCUCCUGCUCAACCCAGUCGCAAAGGACUCCCCUUGAGGCUUCCUGGCAUAUGUUCCUCAUGCCCACCGGCAGGUUGGUUGGGCCCUACACUCCACAACAAGAGGUCAUGGAAGUAGAGCUGGAGCCCAGCUGUCAGUCAGAGGGCAGAGGUGCCAGGACUGCAAGCAGAGCAGCAGGAUGGCCUGGGCAACAACCCAGCAGUCACAUCCCAGGGAGGAGGAGGAUGGGGAGUCUGUGGCAGAACCAGAGCAGCUCUGAAUAUCCAGUGCCAUGAUGCUGAUGCUGGAUUGCAUGGCACAAAUGGGGCUGAUACGAGAUGCGGCCUCCCUCAUGAGUGACCUCUGGGGAUUUACCCUGGGUUCCCCAGGAAGUGUGUGAUCACUUUGCUAUAUGGGUCCCACUACACCAGGAGACUUUCAUGACAGCCAGAGCCAUCCCCUGUGCAGGUGUCUUUCCUCCCCACUGCCUCCCCAGACUCAGGCACAUGGGCCAUUGCCUAGAGUUACCUCCAGAUUACAUGAGGUUAUACAAUGGAACUGGUUUGCCUCUGAUUCGUUAGGAGUGACUCAUAGACAUGUGGUUCUGGCUCAGAAAGGGGCACCAGGGGCUGAAAACAUGUUCAGCGGCUCAACUGCAUCCCAGACACACAUGUCAGGUCCCCUAUCUCUGCUGAGGUGCAGCCAGCCAGCAGCUGAUUGCCAAGCAGGCAGCAGGGCAUGGUGAACAGAGACACGUCCCCAUGACCUGCUCUUACCCCAGUUAGGAUGGGCCCAUUGACUUCUGGGGUGCCAUUCACAAGGUUUCCCACGCUCCCAUCUGCCUAUGCCCAGGUAACAGUGCUCAGCCCUGAUGGAGGGUCUUGAAAAGCAUCAGCCUGGAGGAACUUCACCAGAGUCAGUGUACUGCUCCCUCCUGCUGCCACUCCCAGAACUUCCUAGUGGCAGCAAGUUUCACAAGCCACUCCAUCCAAGAGAGGGCAGUGGGGCACAGGCACAGACCCCCCUCCACCACACAAAAGAGAGGGAAGUGGGGCAUGCGCACAGAUACACAGGGUAGCUUUUUUAAAACAAAAACUUUUUUUUUUAAAUUCAGGCAGAUAUAGAAAAAAACCUCCAAUACUGGAGUAAUAUAUGGGGAUUGCAUGAGUUUGGAGUCAUUACAUAUUUACAAAAUAAUAUACAACCAUUCUUAUAAUGUAUCACCUGUAUUAUCCAUUUAAUGCUGUAUAUGUUAAUAUCCAAAGAAACUGACUACAAACACUGGCUUAUAGACUGUUGAAUAUACACACACACACACACAUAUACAUGGCUGGAUCCAGGAUUUUGAAAAUGGGGGUGCAGGUGGUGAUGUACAUCAUCACAUAUAAAACAACAUAUAUUUUUCUCCAGUUAAAAAUAAACUAGAAGCUUUAUUAAUAUGCUAAGGGCCUUGGGCUGUAUUAUUCAGUUUAAGAUCAAAGCAAAAACAAAUAUAACUUUGUUGGAAUGAGUUAAAAACAGUCUGCAGGGCUGUGAAAUAGGAGCUUCAUUACCAGGAGCAGAGAACAGACAGGAGAAUGGCAGAACUAAGGCUGGAUUCAUUGAUGGAACAUCAAGACCAUUAAAAAGGAGAGAGGGUCAUUAACACCUGUGGGAUGAAGAGUUUAGAAAGAAUCCCGGAGAUGACAAAGAGCCAGGAAGUCAGUGGACUCACUCAUCACUGCCAGGCAAGAAAUGCUGCUGCCACUGCCAGGCAGUUGGUUUUAAACAUUGAGUGGAAAAUGAAUCAAAGGGGGAAGGGAUGCAACUGUACCAGUGCACCCCUCUGGAUCUGCCCCUGUGCAAACACAUGCAUGUUCAUCUGUGUAUGUGCAUGGCCACAUACAUACACACACGUGUAUGUGUAUAUAUAUUAGCUGGAACUGCCUUCACUUUGUAAUAUAAAAAAAAGAAAUAAAGCAUAUCUAGAUGAUGUUUCAUCUGUUUAAUAUACCUGCAAUACUAUCCCUCUAUG